rnacentral:tRNA from 13 species
GUGGGUGUAGCUCAGUUGGUAGAGCCCCGGAUUGUGAUUCCGGUUGUCGUGGGUUCGAGUCCCAUCAUCCACCCCA